UGACGUUAGGUUUCAGAUUGACGGGUUUUCUUUUUUCGAAGGAUAGUUUGGGUGUAGACAUAUGUUUCUUUGUUUUUUCAAACACAAUGUCAAAUCUGAUAUAUUUAUUUUUCUCUAGUUCAACAUCGUCUUUGUUUUCAUUGCUUUUAAUCAUAUUCUGGUCUGUGACGUUCGGUAUCAGAUUGACGAUUUUUCUUUUUUCCGAGGAUAGUUUGGGUUUAGAGGUAUGUUUCUUUGGUUUUUCAAAAAUUAUGUCAAAACAAGUAUUAACUCUCUUUUCAUAACCGACUUUAUCUGUACCGUCUUCACCAUAUCAUAAGAACUUCCGGUUUGAUCUGAUGGCAGAACUGUCUUUUUCUCCUUGGCUCUUAUUUUUUCAUUAAUGGUAACAUCUAUUGCCUUAUCAUCAGUUACACGCUCUGAGUGGCGUGCAUGCACAUGAUUUAACUCUCCCUCAAGCUUCUUCACCAUAUGGGAUUUAAGAUUGAACCAAUCUUCUUUUUCUUAUAGCAUUAAUUCCAAUUCGAUGAUUCUUUCAUUCUUUCUUUCAAUUCCUUCUUCAAUCAUAUCAAUG
rnacentral:lncRNA from 1 species